UUUUUACAUUUAUUUACAUUAUAAAUAAAUUUACAUCUACACAUAUUACAGUGUCUAUACAUGUUUAUAUGCAAAAUCCGUGCGCAAUCACCGUGCGUUUCAUAGAACCUACAGAUUCAAAGAGAAGUCAAUUUUGAGUUCCUUUACUUUGGGAUAUUUUUCAGCGAAGAAUCUAAUUAAAAUAAAAUAAACUAAAGAAAAUUAUACCCGUUAGAGCGAUUUUUAAUCGCCAAUAGAAUUAACAACAGGUAUUGCGAACUUGCAAUAAAAUCAAUACAGAUUUCUGAGAUCUAACACUGAUAAGUGUACAGCUGGUGGAGAUAUGUUCUUAUGUCAAUCGUUUCUUUCAACCGUGUUGUAAAAAGUAUUCAUUUUGUAUUUGAUGUACAAAACAGCCGAUUUUCCUAUUCUACAACAAGAAGGGCUGCUAAUUUAUGGCACUGUCGAUUUUUCUUCUUAGCCUGAACCAACCAAGGAACCAUUAACCAAAAAAUGGUUCCAAAUUUUUGGACAGCAAUUUAUAUCUAUCAGAUGGACAAAGAUGCGGAAAUAAGUACAGAGGAAGUGAAGAAGGGUACAAAAAAGUACUAAAGACGAAGGUAGAAAACAGGGAGCUGAUGGAUAACGAGAGAAGAAUCAAAAAGGAGGAUGGUGGAGGGGGCUUUUUUUGAACGCAGGUAAAUCCAAGCCGAAAGUGUUGUUUUUUUGCGUAAUCUAACGCUGGACGAAGAACGAAAGUAAUUACCGGAAACAAUUCGAUCUUGUCGUUGGCCGGCGCCGUUUACCUUCCGGCGUCUGCCGCUGAUUAAAUUGCCCGCCUCUCGUUCCAUUUCAUUUCGGCACCAUCGUGAAUACGAGGAUUGAAUUCUGGAACAUAGGAUGAGCACGAGUUACAAGUAUGCGUUUACUAACAUUGAUUUGCCGUGUUUGUUUGCUCGCGUCUGGAGAACGAUAUACCUAUGUGUGUCUUUGUAGACGCGCUAUGAUUCUACUGUAACGCAAUUCAGGAUUUUUAGCUCUUUUCCUGGCUUUUAUGUCGAAUUUUCGGGAAUCGCCGCGAUUCGUGGGAUGAUCUUUAACCCUUUGCACUGCGAAUUUUAUUUCAAUUUCGUUUACCAGCAGCUCCCAACGCUUUUAAGUGUUUUAUUUGAAAUUUACUUGAACUAAAAAAAAUAAGACAAUUUAAAUAAAUAAAGGAAGAAACAAAUUCACCUAAAUACCAGUUUUAUUCAUACUAUUGUUGUAUUUCGUAAUUUUUAAGUGUAUGAUAUAUCUUGAAACAAUUACCAGGAUGCAGUCCUGGUUUUCUUUCGCAUGUUUCAUAAAAAAGGGUGAGAUUGAAAGAGUGAGACUCGACAAAGGAGCUCCUGAGAUAAUAAAAACUGAUGCCGAGUCACACUCGACAUACGAGUGCAAGGGGUUAAAGAAUCAGCGAUGAGAAUAUUUUUAGCGAUGUCGUUGCGAUAUUCUACGUACGGAAAUCAAAUAAAAGAUAAUAACUCUUUGCUGGUCAAGAUUAUUUACGUUAAAAUCUUGAAUUGCCGCAGGAAAAAUUCCGAUCGACGUAGUGGCGACUGAGAAGAACUUCAAAGAACACGAAUUCUGAAAUUAACAAAUAAAAUUCGUCUUCCGUUUUGAUAAAGAUGGUAGCAGAAGUGUUUUUUUAGAAGCGUUUAAUUUAUUUCGGUCGACGUUGGGUUUUCUUUUCAAAACACGCGAAAAUCGACAAAUUAUUGGAUCCAGUGAUGAAAGAUUUUAUCUGGAAAAACAUUUGUAAAACGUAGAAUAAAUUAACAGCCGUAUAAAAGUUAGGACAUUUACGCAGGAUACAUGACAAUGUCUAAAGCAGCGUUCUGACGAUCGAUAUUAUCGUCAAUAUUAUUGUCAAUAUUUGAGGUUUUCAACAUUAUCGUACGCAAGAGACCCUCUAGGCGGUCAAUAUAUAUUGUCAAUACAAUGUUGAGCACCUUAAAUAUUGACAAUAAUAUUGACAAUAAUAUCGAUCGUCUAAACGCCUCUCAACAGUCUUUAUACAUCCCCUUACGUUCAACUCGUUCAAAUUGCUAUUACCAACUCUCGCCAUUAAUAUUUCGAAUAACAUAGCCGACUUAAGCCAGCGUCGUAUAAAAUGGAUUUUCGAGAAUACCGUUUAAUCGCGGAUCGGUAAUAAAAAUUGCGUUUCGAUGGAAAUUCAAGCGCAGGUACAAAAAUCCUCGUUCGUAAAUCAACGAAACGACAGAGAGAGAGAGAGAGAGAGAGAGGAGGGGGUAAGGGCGAAACGAACUUUCCCCAUUACGCCAAUACCUUCCGGCAAUAAAAAAAAAAAAAAAAAAAAAAGAAGGAAAAAGAAAAAG